GACGAACGCUGGCGGCGUGCUUAACACAUGCAAGUCGAACGGAAAGGCCCUGCUUUUGUGGGGUGCUCGAGUGGCGAACGGGUGAGUAACACGUGAGUAACCUGCCCUUGACUUUGGGAUAACUUCAGGAAACUGGGGCUAAUACCGGAUAGGAGCUCCUGCUGCAUGGUGGGGGUUGGAAAGUUUCGGCGGUUGGGGAUGGACUCGCGGCUUAUCAGCUUGUUGGUGGGGUAGUGGCUUACCAAGGCUUUGACGGGUAGCCGGCCUGAGAGGGUGACCGGCCACAUUGGGACUGAGAUACGGCCCAGACGCCUACGGGAGGCAGCAGUGGGGAAUAUUGCACAAUGGGCGGAAGCCGGAUGCAGCAACGCCGCGUGCGGGAUGACGGCCUUCGGGUUGUAAACCGCUUUCGCCUGUGACGAAGCGUGAGUGACGGGAAUGGGUAAAGAAGCACCGGCUAACUACGU
rnacentral:rRNA from 1 species